GAAAAUCAGCUCUUUUAGUAUUUCUCCAUUUGGUUUUCUGAAGGAGAAAGCCUCC
ensembl:snRNA U7 U7 small nuclear RNA